rnacentral:rRNA from 1 species
AGGGCACCACCAGGAGUGGAGCCUGCGGCUUAAUUUGACUCAACACGGGAAAUCUCACCAGGCCCGGACACCGGAAGGAUUGACAGAUUGAGAGCUCUUUCUUGAUUCGGUGGGUGGUGGUGCAUGGCCGUUCUUAGUUGGUGGAGCGAUUUGUCUGGUUAAUUCCGAUAACGAACGAGACUCUGGCCUACUAACUAGACGUUGGAUCCCUUUGUGGGUCCAUCGCAGCUUCUUAGAGGGACGGGCGGCGUUUAGCCGCACGAGAUUGAGCAAUAACAGGUCUGUGAUGCCCUUAGAUGUUCUGGGCUGCACGCGCGCUACACUGAAGGAAUCAGCGUGUGUUCCCUAUCCGAAAGGAUUGGGAAACCCGUUGAACCUCCUUCGUGAUGGGGAUUGGGGAUUGCAAUUAUUCCCCAUGAACGAGGAAUUCCCAGUAGGCGCGAGUCAUAAGCUUGCGUCGAUUACGCCCCUGCCCUUUGUACACACCGCCCGUCGCUACUACCGAUCGAGUGAUUUAGU